rnacentral:rRNA from 1 species
CCUACGGGUGGCAGCAGUAGGGAAUCUUCCACAAUGGGCGAAAGCCUGAUGGAGCAACGCCGCGUGGGUGAAGAAGGUCUUCGGAUCGUAAAACCCUGUUGUUAGAGAAGAAAGUGCGUGAGAGUAACUGUUCACGUUUCGACGGUAUCUAACCAGAAAGCCACGGCGAACUACGUGCCAGCAGCCGAGGUAAUACGUACGUGGCAAGCGUUAUCCGGGUUUAUUGGGAGUAAAGGGAACGCAGGGGGUUUUGUAAGUCUGAUGUGAAAGCGUUCGGCUUAACGGGAGUAGUGCAUUGGAAACUGGGAGACUUGAGUGCAGAAGAGGAGAGGGGAAUUCCAUGUGUAGCGGUGAAAUGCGUAGAUAUAUGGAAGAACACCAGUGGCGAAAGCGGCUCUCUGGUCUGUAACUGACGCUGAGGUUCGAAAGCGUGGGUAGCAAACAGGAUUAGAGACCCGUGUAGUC